rnacentral:rRNA from 1 species
UACGGGGGGAGCAAGCGUUGUUCGGAUUUACUGGGCGUAAAGGGCGCGUAGGCGGCCACCGCAAGUCGAUUGUGAAAUCUCCGGGCUUAACCCGGAAAGGUCAACCGAUACUGCGGGGCUAGAGUGCAGAAGGGGCAACUGGAAUUCUCGGUGUAGCGGUGAAAUGCGUAGAUAUCAGGAGGAACACCUGCGGUGUAGACGGCUUUCUGGACCAUUGUUGACGCUGAGACACGAAAGCGUGGGUAGCAAACAGG